rnacentral:rRNA from 1 species
GACGAACGCUGGCGGCGUGCCUAAUACAUGCAAGUAGGACGCAGUUGCGAACGGGUGAGUAACGCGUAGGUAACUGCCUAUUAGAGGGGGAUAACUAUUGGAAACGAUAGCUAAUACCGCAUACUAGUAGAUGGACCUGCGUUGUAUUAGCUAGUAGGUAGGGUAAUGGCCUACCUAGGCGACGAUACAUAGCCGGCCGGGGAAGGGGACGGGCCACACUGGGAACGGGAAACGGCCCAGACCCCUAAGGGAGGCAGGAGGAGGGAAUCUUCGGCAAUGGGGGGAACCCUGACCGGGCAACGCCGCGGGAGUGAAGAAGGUUUUCGGAUCGUAAAGCUCUGUUGUUAAGGAAGCGGUACUUAACCAGAAAGGGACGGCUAACUACGUGCCAGCAGCCGCGGUAAUAC